rnacentral:rRNA from 1 species
UAAUUUAAAGUCUGACCUGCCCAAUGAUAAUUUUAAUGGCCGCAGUAUUUUGACUGUGCAAAGGUAGCAUAAUCAUUAGUUUCUUAAUUAGAAACUAGAAUGAAAGGUUGAACGAGAAAAUAACUGUCUCUUUAUAAUUUUUUUAGAAUUUUAUUUUUAAGUUAAAAAGCUUAAAUAAAUUUGAAAGACGAGAAGACCCUAUAGAGUUUAAUAUUUUAUUAAUUAAAUUUAAAAAUAGAAUUAUAUUUUUUUUAAUAAAAAAAAUAUUUAAUUGGGGUGAUUGAAAAAUUUAAUUAACUUUUUUUUUAUUUUAACAUUAAUAAAUGAUUAAUUGAUCCAUUAUUUAUGAUUAUAAGAUUAAAUUACCUUAGGGAUAACAGCGUAAUUUUUUUUAAGAGUUCUUAUCGAUAAAAAAGUUUGCGACCUCGAUGUUGGAUUAAAAUAAAUUUUUGGUGUAGAAGCUAAAAUAUUAGGUCUGUUCGACCUUUAAAAUUUU